CUCAGCUGCCGAGAAGCAAGCGGGUCCUGCUACACAGUGGUUCUCAACCUCGGCUGCCUGCUGGGGUUGCCUGGGGAGCUUCGAGAACUCCUGAUGCCUGAGUGCAAUCCCCAGAGAGUCUGCUGUCACUGGCCUGGGGUGCAGCCUGGGCAGGUAAUUCUAAGGUUCUGAGUUGAGAACCAGUGUCCUAGCAGAAGGCCGGGGUCUGUUCCGAGGCUGAAGCUGGAGGUCACUUUAUCUGUUGGGUGGAACACUGGAUGAGAAGUGGGAGCAGUUAAUAGCCCGUGGCAGUGGCCCUGAAGAGAGCAGUGCUUCUCAAAUGGUGAUGUGCAUACGUAACACUGAGGGAUCAUGCCAACCUGCUGAGACGUGGGGGCCUGAGAUUCUGCAUCUCUCACAAGCACCCCCCUCCCCAUGGUGCUGCUGCCACCCUAUGAGCAUCAAGAAUUCAGAGGACAUGGUGGUGGUAGUUAAGUACCCUUUAACUCAGUUGUUAAGUGCUCAGAUGGGAUCACCGUAACCUUCAGGAGAAAUGGACAUGGACAGCACCUUGAAGAUCUUGAACCUGGAUCUUCAUUAUGACAUCAAGUCUGGAGGUAGCUGACCAGGGAGUACUGGAACACAAUAUAGUUUGGUGAAAAUGACUCUGAAUGAAUGGGAGGAGGGUGUGUGUGUGUGUGUGUGCACGCACGCGCAUACAUGUGUGAAUUUGUAUGCACUGGGCAGCUAAGGGGGUGGAAUGUAGCUGCUAUGAUUGACCAUGGCCCAAGCUGGACCAACAAAACUCUUUCUUUUGGGAAUCUAGAACUUUGAACCAAGGGAACGUUUAAUUUGGCAGUUUUGAUUCUGAUCCAUUGCAGUGAUCUAGACAGAAGGUCCCUGAAUUGCUGUGCUACAAUCCGUCCUUAAAUCCUCCCUGAUACCCUGCUCUUCCCGAGGCUGGGAAGGUCCACCUCUUUCUUGAAUCCCCUAAGGAAUCCAAUCCAGUAUUUGUCCUCCCUGCCUCCAUUUUUCCUUUUUUAAAGCAAACUGGAGUUUGCCUUCAAAAUAACCAUGGAUAAUACAGAACUCCUUCCAGAAGUAGCUCCCACAUGCUUCA